ensembl:lncRNA
ACUGUCUACUGUCAGCUUUUCCCAUUCUCUGAACAGGCAUUCUGUCUUUCAGCUGAAUGACUUUAGCUCUCUAGCUAGAGGUUUGGAGCCUGACAGUUUACUAUCUAGCACAGGACAGAUGCAUGUGUCCGAUCUUUGUGCAUCUCUUAACUUAUCUUUUGGUAUAGGACUGACUGAUGGAGUGGUUAUCUCACCUUCAGUGGAGACUGUCAUACAUUUGGCUGGAAAUGCCAGGGUCGCUUCUUGAACCUCAACGGCCUGAAUGGUGGUAGCUAUGGCGUCAGGUGGCAACUCCUCAGAACAUUCUCUCAUCAGUGACUCUGCAUCCAGUGGCAUCCUUGACAAAGCAUCUGCGUCACUGAUCUCUUUACCUGGUCUGUACUUUAUUGUGAAGUGAAAAUCAGCCAGAUCUGCAACAAACCUGGAAGUGUUUGCAUUCAGUUUUGCAGUGGACAGAACAUACGUGAAUGGGUUGUUAUCACUAUACACAAUCCUGGAACUUUGUCAGUGACUGCCCAUUUUAAAGCUAGAAAUUCUCACUUGCCUGCAUGGUAGUGGUAGUUCUUCUCCGCUUGCUCUCAAUGAGUGGGAGCCAUAGGCAAUGACUCUCAGUUUGCCAUCUUGUUUUGGAUACAAUACUGCUCGCAAGCCUUGAUGUGAUGCGUCAGUGUGUACUAUGAACGGCUGAGUGAAAUCAGGGAACCCUAACACUGGUGGAUGGAGCAAACAGUCAAUCAGCUGUUCAAGUGCCUGCUGGUGCUGGUCGGUCCAAGUGAUUGGCUUGUCUGAGGGCACAACAUGAGUCAUUUUCUUUGCUUUUGGUUUUCUUGUGUUUUCAGGGACCUCAGUUGAAUCUGCUUUCAAGAGAUUGUGCUGGCAGCUUGCCUUUCUGGAAAAGUCUUUAAUCUACUGCCUGUAGUAGGCGAACGUCAGCUCUUCUUAUCUCCUUUACCGGAGGGGUUGGAUUUGGAUAUGAACACUCGCUAUCAGCUUGCGCAUCUGACUGCUGACAUCACCAUGCUGAUAGAAGUCCUCCGCACCCCGCUUGCUAACUCAAAUUUUCCACCACCCCUUAGAUACAGGAUUCGCCCUGUGACAGUGUGCGUGGACACUGCCACUCAGACUGACCCGCUGCCUGCUGUGCCCCCCUCCAGCUAUCAAACUGACGAUGACAUGGC